rnacentral:rRNA from 1 species
AGCGUUGUUCGGAAUUACUGGGCGUAAAGAGUGUGUAGGCGGUGCUCUAAGUUCGGUGUGAAAUCUCCUGGCUUAACUGGGAGGGUGCGCCGGAAACUGGAGUGCUUGAGCGUGGGAGAGGAAAGCGGAAUUCCUGGUGUAGCGGUGAAAUGCGUAGAUAUCAGGAGGAACACCUGUGGUGUAGACGGCUUUCUGGACCAUAGCUGACGCUGAGACACGAAAGCGUGGGUAGCAAACAGG